UACGUAGGGGGGCAAGCGUUGUCCGGAAUCAUUGGGCGUAAAGCGCGUGUAGGCGGUUUCGUAAGUCUGCUGUGAAAGUCGGAGGCUCAACCUUCGAAAGCCGGUGGAUACUGUGAGACUUGAGUACGGAAGAGGAGAGUGGAAUUCCUGGUGUAGCGGUGAAAUGCGCAGAUAUCAGGAGGAACACCAACGGCGAAGGCAGCUCUCUGGGACGUUACUGACGCUGAGACGCGAAAGCGUGGGGAGCAAACAGG
rnacentral:rRNA from 1 species